GCACACGCUCACACUCACACUCUUAGCUGAACAGCAUAUAUUGCCAAACUACGGAAAACAGAAACUGACCAAACCAGAAGGGUUCCAGUUUCUUUGUGGAUAUUUUUACUUUGAUUACUGAGAAUCUAUGAGAACAUAAAGAAAAAAAACAAGAUGUCAUUUUAGCACUCUUAUCAAGUAUUUUAUUGAUGUUGUGACACUAAGUUAAUAAUGACUUUGGCAAUCAACCUAUUGAGGUAAUGAUAUAAUACAGGGGAUCUCCUGAUUCGGUCUUUGUGGUGUUCAAUUCCAGUAAUCCUGAUUAUGCUUCUGAUGUCACAAGCUAGUUUUAUUUGUGACCUCACAAAUGUCCAUGUGAUUUAGAUUUAGUACAGCUUCCUGUUGAUUUUCUUUCACAAGACCUAAAACGAGCUGCCAGUCGUUACAAAUCACUGACAGACAUUUGAAUUGGGAAGUCCUCCUUUGAGAGCCAAUUGUGUCACUUCACACAUGAUGAUGGUUGCCAGUAAAAAAAAAAAGGG